ensembl:lincRNA
UCUAUGUUUAGUUGUAUUAUUAUUUUGACAUAGGCUUUUAGUAAGUUGGACAAGGUGGCAUGAACUUGCCAGCCUACUAGGUCAUCCUCCAGAGUAGCUGUGGUUACACUUCGUGAAACCGGAACCAGUAACGUUAUUGUUUGUAAAAGUUGAAGGACAUAACACAAGGUUGGUCUUCACUGUCGGGCUAUGAUGUGACACUCAGUGGCUCCCCACAGCCCAUCCCCAACUGGAACAAAGAAGCUAAGGCUUGUUCUCACCUGAGCUGGCGCUCUGGGUGACCGAUCUUCACUGCCUUUGUGCGUGUCAAGGCAUGCUUAUCGCUGUGGAUCUUUUCAAUGGUGACGACCCCUACAGUAACAAUCCCUUCACUCUAGUUUUUGUUGUUGUUGUUGUUUAAUCAUCUGUCUUUCUGCAGGCUGGUUUUUCCAUUUUCAUCUGAUGCCAACAGACACACCCAUAAGUCAGCCUGAGGCCUCCUUGUCUUGGUAGCCCGAAGCGUCCCUAGCAACCAAUGGCACCAGGAAGUGACGCCACAAUCUCGCGCUCAGAACCCGUAUCCCCUGGGUGCGGCCUCGUUUUGCCAUUGGUCAGUUGGAAGGAGGAGGAAGGCUUCGGCCAAUGGGAGGCUGCAGGCUCGCGAAACUGGCAGCAGCUGUUGCACCUGCAGCGUGUCUUUCCCCCAGUGAGUUCUACAGAGUUUCGCCCCCACUCGCUCACAUUGAGCACAGAUGUGUGAACAUAGGCGCGGGGUGCCUCUGCUCGCGCCUGGAGGAUCGGGGCCGUUCUGGAGACCAGGACUGGGCUGCGCCGCACGUGCAGGCAACUCCUACCUGUCCACUUUGGUACUCUGGGGGACUUGCUGGGGAGGCGCGGGCAAUUCAAGGAGAGCGAGAGUCAGCGCAUUCCAUGACAGGUGUGUGCGGAGGACCUGAGGACGCCCGGACUCCAUGUGCCCAAGGGCACCGCCCUCCCUCAAGCUGUGCUUUCUCUCUUUCUCGGCAGUUUCGAUUGCUGUCGCAGGUCGGAUUACCCGACACACCCGCACAGUUGGGCUGAGGCCUUAUUGUCUUGGCAACCAGAAGCGUCCCGAGCAACCAAUGACACCAGGACGACGCCAUCCUCCCGCUCCCCGAACGGGUACCGCCUGGUGCAGGCCUCGGCUUGCCAUUGGUCAGUUGGAAGGAGGCGGAAGGCUUUGGCCAAUGGGAGGCGGCGCGCUCAGGAAACCGGCUGCACGGCUUGCAUUUGCAGUGUGCAUCUCGCCCUGGGAAUCCUACAGAGUCAGCGCCCCCUGUCGCGCGCGCAUUGAACACAGGUGUGUAAGGAUAGGUGCUGGGUGCCUCUGCUCGCGCCGGGAGGAUCGGGGCCGUUCUGGAGACCAGGACAGGGCUGUGCCGCGAGUGCAGGCAACUCCUACCUGUCCACUUUGGUGCGUUGGGGAACUUGCUGGGAAGGCGCGGGUGGCUCAAGGAGCGCGAGAGUCAGCGCAUUCCAUGACAGGUGUGUGCGGAGGACCUGAGGACGUCUGGACUCUAUAUGGCCAAGGGCACCGCCCUCCCUCAAGCUCUGCUUUCUGUCUUUCUCUGCAGGUCGGAUUGGCAUCGCAGAUCGGGUUACCCGCUAAGGAUUUUCAGGGCUUGCUUUCUAUGGUAAGAUUGCUCUGCGCGUCCUUUCACUUGGGCUUUCGUCCUUUCAUUCAGAACCCCCCACAUUGGGCUCCUGUUGUGAGUGGGCAUUGUUCUGAUAGCAGUGAACAAUCUAGGAGAUACACCUGGGAUCUACUGGUCUGCAUUCUAGAGCAGACAGGCAGAUGUUAG